GAAUAUCUUGGGUUUGUUAGUAGUUUGAGUAUUUGUAUCAACAAAGGAAAUUAUCAUGUGAUAUUUCAUUGUAAUCAAAAUGCUUAUAUCAAACUUAUGAAAUGGUGGAAGAUCAUGAUUAUUUUUCGAUGGUUUUAACAUCAAUAAAGAGUGGAGUAGGCAAAGCGAGGACGAACAUUGAACUACUAUAUAUCUUUAUGUAUCUCUCUUUCUUCCCUUAUCUCUU
rnacentral:lncRNA from 1 species